UACAGAGGGGGCAAGCGUUGUUCGGAAUUACUGGGCGUAAAGGGCGCGUAGGCGGCCCGCUAAGUCGAACGUGAAAUCCCCGAGCUCAACUCGGGAACUGCGUCCGAUACUGGGCGGGCUUGAAUCCGGGAGAGGGGAUGUGGAAUUCCAGGUGUAGCGGUGGAAAUGCGUAGAUAUCUGGAGGAACACCGGUGGCGAAGGCGGCAUCCUGGACCGGGUAUUGACGCUGAGGCACGAAAGCGUGGGGGAGCAAACAGGG
rnacentral:rRNA from 1 species